GUGCUUGCUUCAGGAGCACAUAUACCAAAAUUGGAAUGAUACAGAGAAGAUUAGCAUGGCCCCUGUGUAAGGAUGACACACAAAUACAUUAAGCAGUCCAUGUUUAA